rnacentral:rRNA from 1 species
CCUGCCCAAGAGAUCGGGAUAACACCUGGAAACAGAUGCUAAUACCGGAUAACAACAGAUGAUGCCUAUCAACUGUUUAAAAGAUGGUUCUGCUAUCACUCUUGGAUGGACCUGCGGUGCAUUAGCUAGUUGGUAGGGUAACGGCCUACCAAGGCGAUGAUGCAUAGCCGAGUUGAGAGACUGAUCGGCAACAUUGGGACUGAGACACGGCCCAAACUCCUACGGGAGGCAGCAGCC